CUAAUUUAAUUCAAUUUAUUUAUGAUUAAUUGUUUCAGGUGUGUGAAAAAUGUGAAACUAGAAAAUACCCAGUAGAUGAUCUCUUUUGGAGUGAGAUUUCAGUUGCCUCUGUUUCCAUCCCAUUUUUUAGAAGGUCGUUUAGUUCUUAGAUGCGUAGCCGCGAUUUUAGAUAUUUAGCAAACCCACACGGAAAUGAGGCUCGACAAUACAAAAGAUCCUAUUCCGGAAAGAGUUACAUUUCCGCACAACUCUUCCGUAGCGUUCUAAUCGUCAAAGACUUUUGUAUCGAUAAUUGUGUUGUUAGCCUUAAUAUUCAGAUAAAUGAAGUUUGCCAAAAAAAUAUUAAUUUUUCGUUAUUGUUUCUUUUAUAUUAGAGGAUAAUGUUAAAUAUAAGUAAUCAAAAAAUUAUAAAAUUGAGAAGUAUGUAAGUUUGUAUUAUACGAUUAUAAAGCGAAAUAAUUAAUAAUAAUUGUGAUGUAAAAAAAUAUCAGAGACUAUACGACUAGUCAAAAUAAAAAAAUAAACGAUGUUUUUAGUAUGUUUUAUGUUUAUAGGUUUUGAAAAAAUAAAAAAGAACGUACUUAGAACGGUACUUUUCGCCAAUUAUGUACUACAUUUAGUGCACUUUCGGAGUAAUAAAUGUUUAAUUUUCA